GAAGAGGGAUUACCUCAUUUCCACCUCCUCUGAAAUAAAUCCUCAUUAUGGAUUUGCACCUGGGGAGGAAGAAGCUGAUUUCCACUCCCAGCCGGUUCUGAGCAGAUAUUUGAAGGUAAUUGUGCAGCCCAGUCAUCUCACUUGUCCAAUAACCAUAAAGAGCACUUUUAUUAGCACCGGGCUUGGGGCUGGGACUAUUGAGAAGAUAUUUAUGGGGAAGAUAUUAUUUCAGAAAACUAGAACGUGGACAUCAAAUAUAUGUUUUAUGCUGAGGUGGAGCAAAGGGAAGGACCUGACAUCCAACAAAUGUCUGAGUGCUGGUGGGGGGCUCAUCCCUGGGCUGGGGUGGCUGCACUGUGGUGCCUCCUCACAGUACUCACUGGAUUGCCUCAGAUUUGCCAAAAACCAUCAUGUGAGGGGGCUGAACCCAGCAGGGCUGAGCAGGUUUUCCCUCAUGCUCCAGUUGUGAAAACUCUGAUGUGGGCUAGCAGACAUUAUUGGUGUUUUUAUUGAGGAUCUUGUGCUCUGAGUUCUGCCUCCCUGAACACGAGGCUGAAAUGCUGGUGUGAUGAGGCCCUUUUGUCUUGGCUAAUUGCUGCAAGAUGAAAUAUGGGCCAGAAUAAAAUGUGGUCGUCUGCUGAACAGCUGCUGUGCCCGGCUGCCAGGCCCUUUGCUGCAGCCCAGGACAUACUGACUGUGGCAGCUUUUGGAUGCUCUAGCUCAGGGCAGAACUGUGCAGUGAUUUCUCGGGGCUUCGACAGGCCCAGUUCUGAGCUUCUCCCACAGAGCCAGCAGUGAUGGACUGGACAAAAAUAGCCACGAGAACUUUCCAGAGGAGCAAUGGCUUGGCCCAGUGCUGCAGGUUUACACUGAGGUGCACCCAGACAAGCAGAGGUGUGAGACAGACGUCCCCAGCUCUGCAGCUCUGGGGCACUGGGACUCGUGGUGCCUCUGUGUCUGUGCCCUGUGCUGCUCUGCUGCAGCUUUGGAGGUGGCAGGGACCCCUCGGGCACCAGCUCAGCAUCCAGCUGCUGGUGAAAUUUUGAUGAAAAGUCCUUACUUAUUGAUGAAGAAUAACAUCUCCAUUGCACAGCUCAUCUCGUGGGGAGCACAGUCAUUUAGUGCUUGGUGCUUCAGGGCUGUGGUGGGCUGACACACCACGAGCUUCCCCCCCAGCCUCUGGUCCCACUGGUGGAAGAGGACGGGAGGAUUUGUUUGUGCAGGUCCUGGUCCCAGUGAAAUGGAGAAAAUGUAAGUCAGACUAAAGUGCCAAAACCAAAUACAGCAGAGGAGCCUUCCAGAGGCUUCCAGGGAGCAUCCAGAGGUGCUUGCAGAGGAGCCUGGAAGCACACAGCAGCCUGGAGCCCCAGGAAGCACAGGGAAGAGCACUCUGUGGUCGGUGCCCUCACUCCAGAGCUCCUUGGCUCCAUCCAGCCCGUGUGUGCCUGGGGCUGUGCUUCAGCCCUGAGCCACUGCCUCGGGUAAGUCCGUGGGCUAUCUCACAGCAGCCAGGAAAGGUAACAGAGAGAAGCAGUUAUCUUUGGUGUCUUUAAUUCUCUUGACUUUUUUUAGAGGUCCAGAAAUGGAAAACCAGUCGAAAAGCACUGCAGCUGUGUCCCAGAGCCUGUACCACGGUGAUGGCACUGGGGAUGUGGCCUCGGGCUCUUCAAAGCCUCUGCAGCUGCCUCUGGACCUGAACUGUUGUGACUUCAUGUUGUCCAAGUAAUUACAUACAAGACCAUGGAGAGAGAUCAAAUCCUGCCAUCUCCCUUGGAUCCUGGAAACAGCCUCUUAAGGCACCCUCGAGCCUCGUUAAAGGAAACAAAUCAAAGUGCUGCACCAGAGGAUUGCAGGUAAAGCUGUGCUCCUGAGGACCUGCCUUUUCUAGAUAGCCCCAUGUAUGGGGAGUGAAACAUUUCCAGGAGAUUUGAUUCCAUCUGGGGCCUGGGGAAAUUCCGCAGCUCCACCAACAAUCCAUCACCACUCGCUCGGGGAGGAGCGAUAAAUCCAUCAUCAUCUUCUUCUGGAGCAGCUGUGGGGAUGGCAGGAGGAGCAGCAGUGCAGGCUGCCUUCCCUGCACGUGGAGAAGAGCCAAAAUCGGGUCAAGGGAGCAGCUUUCAGCCUCUCCUUCCCCUCCUGCCGUGCUGCUCCCCCAGCAGCUCUGCUCCCUGUGCCUGUGCAGCUGUGCUGGCUGGCAGCAAUUACUGCUGGUUUCUUCACAGCCUUUGCUUUGGACUCCUCAUGAUGGUGGCUGUUACACCCCUAGGGCAGCAGUGAGUGUCCACUCAGGUGCUGUUGGUGUGUCCAUGCUGUUGGCUGUCCAUGCAGCCUGGCCCAGGGAAUGUCACUGUUCUCAAAACCAAAAUGCCUUCAGGGGCUUGUGCUCUCUCCCAGGGCGAUGCUGCCCAGAGAGACAACCUCCUCCUUCCUCCUCCUGCUCCUCCUCCUCCUCCCUGCAGGGCUGGCUCCUGGGAUCACUCACACCCGGGAGGGACUGGAUCUCUGCAAAGUGCCAGGUGGCAUCCACGGGGAAGAGGCAGAUGUUGCUGGAUGACAGGAUGGAGAUCCAGCCUCUGGACUUGGUUGUAAGUGGUUUAAUGACAUCACAGCACAAAGGGGAGAGUUUGGAAAAAUGGUGUAAGAGAACAUAUUCUCUCACGUUAAAUCAGCACCCUGGGCCCUGUCGCCAUUGGCAGCCUGAGGGAUAUUUUGCAGAGGUGCUAAAACACAUUGUAAAUUAGGAAAACAAGAGAGAAACCAAACCAAAACACCAUAUUGUGUAAGACCACUUCUCUUGAUACCAGCAAAGCUUUUCAGAACAAACCACCCCGUUCAUGUUUACCUUUGUUUGGGGUUUUUUGUUUGAAGAAAUUAUUUCUGUUUUUCAAUAAAAAUUGCUGUUGCCAUUGAUGUCCCCUUUGCAGCCUUGCCUCGCUGCCUGCAGAGGUCAGCAGUGCUGGAGUCCCUGAGGGAUGUGGACAGCCCUGCUCCUUCCCAGGCCAGGAAAAGAAGAGAAACACUUCAUGAUCCUUAAACUUGUUAAAUUUAAAACUUGAAAAGGCACCUUCAUGCUUUCAAUCAUUUUUACUGCUUCUAAUGCAACUGGUCUAAGCUUUCCUAGAAGACCCAGAGGGAAACCAGGAAAGAUCAGAUGUGACAUUCUGGACUUGGCGUGUGAAAAGCAACUGGGGAAAAAAUAGAAUAAAGUAAAGUACAGAAA